GUUUUAAAAAACUUUAUUGACACUUCUAACCUCACACGUUACAAUAAAGCAUUGUAUUGAAAGAGCUUAAGAGUACCAAUUGCCAGUUAGGAGACUGUCAUGGCUGAUACACUGUCAACUGGAGAAGCUUAGAAGUCUAAGGGACUCAGCAGGGAGCGAGGGCCCUUGCUCUGUAGACACCCUCAUCCUGUGCAACAGGAGGGCAGGAAAAUGGCAUCAGUGCUACUUCUGCCCUUUUGUGCUUGCUGCUUUUGCUGUCCUCCACCACCUUGAACAGUUGCCCCUGCGUCGUGCCCAGCUGGCCUUGGAGUGAGCUGAUCUUGGAUCGAAACCUCCACGAGCUGUGAGCUAACUCAGCCUCUCCUUCCCUUGUUGUGGGUGUUGGGCAUUUUCCCUCAGCAAUGACAGAAAGGUAACCAACACAGAAUUCGGCAAUCAUUGCUGUGACUGUGCCUGAGGAUAUGGCUCAAGAGCCUUUGGGAAUGACUUGGAAAGUCUGGAAAGGUGCAG